AUGUGUGUACCCAAACUAUGGGGUGGUAUGGGAUUCUGUGAUAUACAUAGUUUCAACCUUGCGAUGCUUGCCAAACAGUGUUGGCGGUUAAUUGAGAACUAUGACUCUUUAUUUGCAAAGGUAUUAAGAGCAUAGUACUACCCCUCUGGUGACAUUAUGAAUUGUGCUCUAAAAAAGGGAUCAUCUUAUGUAUGGCAAAGCAUAUGGUCAGGUAUCCAAACAUUUUAAAAUGGAUGCAUCUGGAGAGUGGGAAACGGAUUGAAAAUCAAUAUUUGGGAUGAUUGUUGGAUUCCAAAUAGCAACUCGAGGAAGAUAAUUACCCCUAGAGGUAAAUGUAUUCUCACUACAGUAAAUGAACUUAUUGAUCCUUCUAAUGGUGAAUGGGAUGAAAUUUUGAUGAGGGAUAACUUCUGGCCCAUUGAUGUAGAAAGGAUACCGCAGAUUCCGAUGUAUCACCAUGACACGGAGGAUUUUAUAGCCUGGUAUCUCACCAAGUCAGGCAUUUUUAGCGUCCGAUCAGCAUACUAUAAACAGUGGGAGGUCUGUUACAAACCAAAUAAUACCAACUCUUUUGGUGCACAAGGAUCUUCUCCACACCUAGUAUGGAAGAGACUAUGGAGUUUGAAAGUCCCGGGUAAGGUUAAAAUAUUUUUGUGGAGAUGCCUACACAAUGCUAUACCAUACUGCUAUGCUUUAGCAUACCGACAUAUCUCAAAAUCUGCCCAAUGUCCAGUCUGUUCUUUAUAUGCAGAAGACACAAUGCAUUUGCUUUUUAAAUGUGGGCGAGCCAAAGAGGUUUGGAAUAAUCUUGGAUUGCAUGUAAUAAUGAACACACUUGUGGAGCUGGGGCGUACGGGCGCGGAGAUUCUAGAGAUUAUCCUCUAUGACUCUGCACACCAAACAAAUUACAUGAACAUGGUGGAGCUACCUGAAUUGGAAUUGAACUCACAAAUUUACCAAUUAUGA
rnacentral:rRNA from 1 species